rnacentral:rRNA from 1 species
ACACCUACAUGGGAUUCGGUGUGGAGCUUGAGCUGCCCAGCAAAGGUAAAAAAUUUUGUUUGGAGAGCACUUCUUAGUGUUGUUCCAUGCCGUGCAAUAUUGGCUGAUAAACAUAUCAAGAUCAAACCAAAUUGUCCCGUAUGCAACAAAGGACCGGAGAGUAUCUGUCACCUGUUUUUUGAAUGUACAGUUGCGGUUCAGGUUUGGAAACUGCUUGGAGUGUGGGAUGUAGUACAGAGGAGAUUGGCGAUGAAUACUUGCGGGGAGGUUGUGUUGGAUUAUCUUCUCAGCCUACCGGACGAUCAUAUCCAUGUGCUAGGAUUGUCAAAAUUGCGAGAAACGGUUGCUAUAUGCUGUUGGUACUUGUGGUGGGAAAGG